CAGUCGCCGCGGGAAUACGUAGGUGGCAAGCGUUGUCCGGAAUUAUUGGGCGUAAAGGGCUCGCAGGCGGUUUCUUAAGUCUGAUGUGAAAGCCCCCGGCUCAACCGGGGAGGGUCAUUGGAAACUGGGAAACUUGAGUGCAGAAGAGGAGAGUGGAAUUCCACGUGUAGCGGUGAAAUGCGUAGAGGUGUGGAGGAACACCAGUGGCGAGGACGACUCUCUGGUCUGUAACUGACGCUGAGGAGCGAAAGCGUGGGGAGCGAACAGGAUUAGAUACCCCCGUAGUCCCUGUCUCUUAUAC
rnacentral:rRNA from 1 species